UUUCCGUAGGUGAACCUGCGGAAGGAUCAUUACAGAGUUCAUGCCCUCACGGGUAGAUCUCUCACCCUUGAAUAUUUAUACCUUAGUUGCUUUGGCAGGCCGUGGAAACACCAUGGGCUCCGGCUUAUGCGUGCCUGCCAGAGGAAACAAACUCUGUUUUUAGUGAUGUAUGAGUACUAUAUAAUAGUUAAGACUUUCAACAACGGAUCUCUUGGUUCUG
rnacentral:misc_RNA from 1 species